rnacentral:lncRNA from 1 species
CCCCCCCCCCCCCCCCCCCCCCCCCCCCCCCCCCCCCCCCCCCCCCCCCCCCCCCCCCCCCCCCCCCGCUGGGCACAGGCUGCAGGAGCAGGGCUGGGCUGGGCUCAGCACAGGCUGCAGGAGCAGGGCUGGGCCAGGCUCCCAAACCCUCCUGCUGCAGCCCUGUGCAUUCCUGCUGCGCCUCUGCCUCCUUCGCCAGCGAGUCCAACUGCGAGCAGUGAGUAAGGACUUGGGAACCCUGAGCAUUUUUGGGCUCUGGGCCCAAUCCUGCUUCCAGAGAAGUUAAUUGGAUUUUUUCCCUUCUAAAAAAGGGAGAGCACUCGGCAGUGCCCAGCUCAGCGCUGCAGGGCGCUCCUGUGUGUGCCGUGUGCGAGCCCAGCUGCCCGUGCCCCCCCCCCCCCCCUGCCGUGUGCGAGCCCAGCUGCCCGUGCCCUGGGCAGGGAUGGGCUGGGGGCAGCCAGAGCCCCCCUGGGCCGUGCUCCCGAGGCUGCAGGAGCCGUGGAUAGCGCUGCAGUGGCAGAGCUGCACUGCAGUGGCAGUACCCAGCUGGGGAGAUCAGCUUUUCCUCUCAAUGUUGGUACUAAGAAGUGCCUUUCCUGACGUCGCUG